ACUCCUACGGGAGGCAGCAGUGGGGAAUAUUGCGCAAUGGGGGAAACCCUGACGCAGCGACGCCGCGUGGGUGAUGAAGGCCUUCGGGUCGUAAAGCCCUGUCGGAGGGGACGAAGGGCUGAUGUUCGAAUAGGGCAUUGGUCUGACGGUACCCUCAAAGGAAGCACCGGCUAACUCCGUGCCAGCAGCCGCGGUAAUACGGAGGGUGCAAGCGUUGCUCGGAAUCACUGGGCGUAAAGGGCGUGUAGGCGGUCUUGCAUGUCUGGCGUGAAAGCCCGGGCUUACCCUGGGAAGUGCGCUGGAAACUGCAAGACUAGAGUCCCGGAGAGGAAGGUGGAAUUCCAGGUGUAGCGGUGAAAUGCGUAGAUAUCUGGAAGAACACCCGUGGCGAAAGCGGCCUUCUGGACGGUGACUGACGCUGAGACGCGAAAGCGUGGGGAGCAAACAGGAUUAGAUCCCUGGUAGGCUCUG
rnacentral:rRNA from 1 species